UUUCGCUCUACCCCGGGCUCAUCCGGGAAAGCUCCAUGCUCCUCCUGGGCGUCAGUGCGGGGCGCGCAGCGAGCAUCAACGCUUAGCUGUUGUUACAGCACGAAAGGCGUUCAGCUGGCACAAGGGCUGCGGCGGAAGUACCCGGAAGAUGUGAUUUCCCAGCCUGAGCUGCAAAGAUAUCCAGGCAUCCUGACCCCGGACUGAGGAGGUACCAGAAGGAUGGGUGGAAUCGCUGGGAACUGGGAACGCUGGGGGGCGAAGGCAGUCCCAGGGGCAGGACCUCUGGCCUCUAUCUGCUGCGCCUGCUUGCCCUGCGGGAGCCACCGAGCCAGGGCUGCCUUUUGACGAGGUGGGUUUUGAAGACUCCAGAACCCACCCACAUCUCUGAAUGGCUCCCCUGAAGAGGGGCUGCUGGCAGGGGAAUUUCACCCAUUAGUGAUGCAUUUAUUUGAGUAAAACCCUGGGCCCAAACGCAGAAGCCCCCCGAAGGCGUCCUGUAGGGAAGGGUCCUCAGCUGGACAGCUCAUUGUGACACCAGCAACAGCUGGGUGAGGAGGGGGUGAGUGAGAGGGUCCAAGGUCCAGACCCUUGUGGGACGCAAGUGGCCUCCACCAGGGCCCUAGAAGACAGACGGCCCGAGACGGUGCUGAAGCUGGAGAGAUGGGCAUUUUUUUAUUGUGGUAAAAUGCACAGAACAUAAAAGUUACCAUUUUAACCAUUUUUAAGUGUGCAAUUGAGUGGCUUUUAGUACAUUCACAAGGCUGUGCCUCCAUCACCACUAUCUAGUUCCAGAACAUUUCCAUCACCCGAGAAGGAAACCGGUAUUCAUCAGGCAGUCACUUCUCCUUUCUCCCUUCCCUCAGCCCCUGCCAACCCCUAGUCUGCUUUCUGGACCACAUCUCAUUUGUCUGGGCCUGCCUCUAAGUCGUAUUCCUUGUUCUCCCAUCUCAGAUUGGAGCUCAAUGGCCUCCUGGAUUUGGGAACCUCGGGAACAUCUGGGUCAUUGGCAGGGUGGCUGUGUACAGUUGUGCGGGUUGUAGCCUGCACAACUCUGUGCAGCAGUCCUGGUCAUUGGGCGGCUUUGAUUUAGCAGCAGCUGAGUCUGGGGGAGCCUGACCCAGAGGCUGCACAGCCAGGCCCUGCCCACCUCGAUGCCUAGCCCGGCCCGCUAAGUCCAGUCACUUCCACACAUGCUUUGGGCUUUGAGACUCCACCAAGCGCUGUAUGUGGGGUCAGGGUCCAAAGGUGAAAGUGUCCCUGCAGCAUAUGUGGUCACAGUGUCUCCUCCUUUAAAAUGAGGGAAACAUGGAAAUUAUUCAGCCUUAAGAAGGAAGGAAAUUCUGACACAUGCUACAACAUGGAUGAACCUUGAAGACGUUAUGGUCAAUGAAGGAAGCCAGACACAAAGACAAACAUUGUAUGAUUCCACUUCUGUGAGGUCCCUGGAGUCGUCAAAUUCAUGGAGACAGAAGGAAGAGGGCGGUUGCCAGCGGGAGGGAGGGAGAAUGGGGGGUUAAUGUUUAAUGGACAUGGAGUUUCAGUUUUGCAAGAAGAGAAAGUUGUGGAGACGGAUGGUGGGGAUGGUUGCACAACAGUGUGAAAGCGCUUAAUGCCACUGAACUAUGCACUUAGUUAAAAUGGUAAGUUUUAUGUUAUGUAUAUUUUACCACAAUAAUAAAAAAAUCACAUUGAAAAAGUCCAAAAAACUGAAAACAGGGGUAAAGCUAUCACCAGCUUGGAGGGAGGGACCGACUCCCGUGGGACUUGGCAGAGGGGUGGCAUCUGAGAUGGUGGAGGGGCGAGAGUGAUAACUCUGCUUUAUGGAGACAUGAUUCGCACACCGUACAAUCCACCCAUUUACCGUGUGUGUCAGUGGUUUUUAGCAUAUUCCCAGAGUGGUGCCACCCUCACUCCCGUCAAUUUCAGCACAUUUUCAUCACCCCAAAAGGAAGCUCCGCACCCAUCAGCAGUCACUCCCCCCACCCCGCCCCCCGGUGCCUGGCAACCGCGCCUCUGCUUUCUGUCCGUCUCUAUGGAUUGACUUGUUCUGGACAUUGCGUGUAAUGGAGUCAUCACUCUGUGGCCUUUUGUGACUGCUUCUUUCGCUGAGCAUCAUGCCUCCAAGGUUUGUUCCUGUCAGAGCAGGUUUAGAGCUUCAUCCUUUUUAUGGCUCAGCUGUUUUUACUCACAACACUCCUGACACCAAAUGUGUGGGUUUUUUCCCACGCCAACAGCCAGUUCUCCAACUCUCCAGAUGCCAACUGGGUGUCUCCAGUUCAACUCAGUCCUGACACUAACGACCUUGGGUCAGUGCAGACCCCGCGAAUACAGAGUCACAGAGUCUCACGGAAGGAUCUCCACUGGGGGUGGCGUCACCCCACUGGACUUUGGGGGACCACCAGCGUGCUGCCCCCCUGCUUUGGGUAGCUACAGUGGGAGGGUGUCUGGGGCAGACUCCAGGGGACUGGGAGAGGAGGAGGGUGGAAGGAGACACCGACUCCCAGCCCCUCUCCUCUCCCACCUUCACCCAUGACCUUCCUCAGGCCCCAAGUCACCUUGAUGGCAGCACAGACAAGUCCCCCUGUGAGGGGCAGGGAAGAAGGAUCCCCCAUGUGUUGGUUUCCUAUGACUGCUGUAACAUAUUA